GCCGGGGUGGCGGAAUGGCAGACGCGGCGGACUUAAAAUCCGCUUCCUUUGAUAGGAGUGCAGGUUCGAGCCCUGCUCCCGGCACCA
rnacentral:tRNA from 1 species